rnacentral:lncRNA from 12 species
GGAAACACAAGACAAGUCAAAUGGUGGCCAGAGGAGGUGAUGUCUAAGCUGAAGAACUGCAGGAUGAAGAAAAGACAGAUCUGUUUUUUCCUACUCAAAAGGAGUGGAGUGAAAUCCAAGUCCUCCAAAAAAGAGACGGAAUGCUGUUCUACCUCACUACUCACUCCUACUCCAAACUUUAACUUUUGGACUCACAUCAUUUUUAGAAUGUUAAGCCAUUUUUCAAAGACAUUAGACUCCCAAGAGACCAUGAAGUUACAACAUUGA